CGUCGGUGGAAUUAUGUGUACGUAUGAAAAUGGCGAUAAAUUUCGUUCAUGUGAUUGAAUAACUCACAUUUUUCGGGACUCGGAAAUUGAAUAUUUACGGUAAAAUUAAGUUUGAUUUAUCAAAUUUAAGUUCGUGUUGAACUUCCGCGAGUGGUUACUCAUCGCGAGUGAAAUUAAUCGGGUGUCGUUAGCAACUUCUCUCUGAUUACCGCCCGAUAUCCGACACGAGUUUCAGUCCGAAAUUGACCGAAGGCUUCCUCCUUGAGCAAAUCAUAAGGUGGUGCGAAAUUUUCCGAUUUAUCUCUGUUCAUCCGCGAGUGCGAGGACUCUCAGUGUCUAUAAUGAAUUUUAUCAGAAACUUUACAUAGUCAAGAUUGAGUGCAAACCAUCAGUUUAUCAUUUUUAGGCUUAAGUUUUUUUUUUAUUUAAGAUGCAAGAAGUCCAUCUAUGAGGACUCCUAAUUCAUUUUUGUACACGUUGCCAUGCAUAACCCUAGACAACCCACUAAUCACAAAACAACAAAUCAGCAGUACCGGUAUCAACCCACACAUGUAGGGCCGCAGGCGAGUCGACACCAUUAUGGGACUGCUAAUGGUGGUGGCAAUACCACGUUACCUCAAAGGCCGCAAAUGAUCCAGACCGCCCAUAACGCGUCUCUGGGUGGUUCAGAUUUGCAACACAUGGCCGAUUACAACUCAAGUAACAUGGCACAACAACAGCGAACGCAUGUUUUCCCAGGUCAAGUGCCGCCAAUGUCAAAUAUCCCGAACUAUCAACCAUCGUUCAGAAGAGGUCCCUAUGCUGGACCAGUUAUGAUUCCAGGGGCUCCGAACGUUCCAGGAGUGCAAUAUUACAUUGUUCAGCCGGGUCCACAGCCUUCUCUUGCUCCUCGAUAUCCUAUGAUGUAUUUAAAUUCAACUCCCUCAUUUCAACCUACAGAACAGAUUCCGUAUACAACUCCAACGACACACUCAGAUCAGACUUAUGUUCCUUCUACAGAUUAUAGCGCACCUGUCUAUCAACCACAAACCGAGUCAUCUACGCAUUCGUCGGAGCAGCCAAAGACUUCCUCUCGGCCGAGGAGACCAUUAACUAUACAAAAUCCUGAGACUUUGGAAGUAAUAAAUAUAGAUUCAGAAAACACUAGCUCAUCUUCGAAAAAUGACGCCUCCGGUGGAUCAGGAAAAGAUGGGAAGAGUCAAACUGUUGAUGCUAGACAAGAACUUUAUGAUAAGGUCCAUGCUCUCACAGAAAGUAGCACUAGUGAUAGCAAGAAACAGGAUCCAUCUCCAAAAUUAAGUCCAGGCAGCCGUGCGGUCUCAAAUGGACCUGUUAGCAUUGAGCCUGCUGUCUUAGAUCCUACACAAGGCGAAGGAAUGGGUGAAGCAAUCAUUAAUGCAGGUCCUAUCCACCACCCUACCAAGGUCUCAAUUGAAAGACCAUCGCUCAUUGGUCAAUCAUUAAUUUAUGACUCAAUGAAACCAUUAGAUGUGCGAUCUGAGCAACUAACGCCAGUGGUCAGCGCAAAUACAAAUGCUCCUGCCAAGCAUAUUGCUCACAAACAAGGAAUGAUAAUAAAGAGUACUCAAAUGUAAAAUCAAGCAGUGGAUCGACUGUUGGAAAUAUCUCAGGAUCUUCACCAGCGAGACAAGGCAACAAGAAAGCUGGUCCUCAAGUCAUGGAGUCUAAAAAGAUUGUUCAGCAACAAUCGACACCCCUGGCUGUGAAUUCAACUCCUAGUACCAUUCCUGCUGUUGAGACAGGAACAGCCUCAAGCGGACCAGGCCUUUCCAGGCAUAUUCCAGUCUCAACCACAUCUGUUUCAUCAGUCGCAUCAGAACCUGCACCUGCUGCAUCUGCUGAAACUACUCCGCAAACUGUCACUGCCCAGCAGCAAGUUCCGAAUAGAGCCCAAGAUGAAUUUAAAACCGUUGUGCGGCACAAAAAGAAUCAUCAGGGCUCAAGCUCAGUCCCUCAUAAUGCUGAAGUUCAAAUGUCUGAUGCAGAGUAUAAUCCUCCUCCCCCUCCAAGAGAAAAGCGGGAGAAAAAUAAGGCAAACUCGCAAGCAAGCUCUGCUGUCAAGGAAGGACAGGCAAAGACCAAUGAAAAACCUGCAAAUGAAUCUCAAAGCAAAUCCCAGAAUGUGCCAUCAUCGAAUCAAAAAUCUCAAUCGAAUCAUUCAGCUCAAAAACAAAUGGAGAAUGCAUCCCCUGCCAGACAGAAUAAAAAAUCCAAUGCAAGUGCUCAGAGCGCAGAGAGUAAGAAGAACGCUGCUAAUGCAACCCAACACGCUCCAGUCACUGCUAACACAUUUUCGAGUGUACUAGCAGCACCAGAAACUGCUCAACCCAAAGCCCCUAUCGAGAUCUCCCCUGCCACAGUGAAGCCGCAGAUGGCUGAUAUGGAGCUAGAUGACUUCAAAUGGUGGUUGGUAAGAAAUCAAGGAAAAUUGAAAUACAAGUUGUCAAAAAAGACCCUGUUCCUGAACCAGAAGUUCCUGCACCAACACCUGCCCCAGCUCCUAAAGAAAAACGUGAAAAGAACAAGGCUAACAUGACAGCUGCCAAAGAGGCCCAUUCAAGUGCUAAGAAUGAAAAAUCAUCAGUGCCAUCCACCAAUCAAAAAUCGUCUCAGCCCGCACCAAAAGAGAAAUUGGACAAAGAAAAAUCCGAAAAAUCUGAAAAAUUAGACAAAGUAGAAAAAGUAGAAAAAGUUGAGAAAGUUGAAAAAAUAGAAAAGGCCGAAAAGGAAAAGGUGGAGAAAGUGGAAAAAGAGAAGCCUGAGAAAGUAGAAAAACCUGAAAAACCGGUAACAGAAAAUGUUGAGAAAAUUGAAAAGGCCGACAAGGUUGCUAAAUCUGAAAAAGUUGAGAAAGUUCUGGAGUCAGAAUCUGAAUCGCCAGCUAGUGCUGUUGCACAGCCAGAGUCAAAGCCUGCCAGCGCAGCACCGGAGCCGACUCCAGCUGCAGCACCCGCCUCGGCCCCUGCGCCCGCUGUUCCUGCAGCUGCUCCUGCACCGGCACCCGCACCUGCACCAGCGCCUGCACCUGUGAUGGAGCUUAAUCCUGAUGGUGAGUUCCUUUUUGCAUGUUUUUAAUACUUUUUCUUACAUUUGCCUGCAAAUUUUCAGAGGUGCCUUAGGCCACUUAGUAUUUGUCAGACUUAGGACUGUUUAUUCAGGAAAGUCAGUAGUUGGAUUAGCUUGAUACUCACUGAUGAGAAACUUGUUGAGCUUUCUCUUGGGCUAAUGAUGAUAGGUUAAUAUCUAGUUAAGCAUUUUGCUAAGGAAGUUUGUGUGUCUGAAUCAUGUUUGCCCGUCAGAUUCCUCACCACGCUGCUUAUCUGUCAUUAUUAGGCAACAAGCAGUGUUGAUCCCUG
rnacentral:lncRNA from 1 species